rnacentral:lncRNA from 10 species
UGUAGAGAUGGCGUUUCACCGUAUUAGCCAGGAUAGUCUUGAUCUCCUGACCUCAUUAUCCACCUGCCUCGGCCUCCCAAAGUGCUGGGAUUACAGGUGUGAGCCACCGCACCCGGCCUCCCUUACAUAUUCUAACUGAACCUGCCCUUACCACAAAGGCACCACUUACUCUGAAGCCAUUCCCCUCCCUGCCUGGCCUGUGCUUCCCACCAACGAUGACCUUUCUGCAACUUCAGUGCCAGUGGAAUCCCAGAUCUGCGGCUGCUUCUGAGCACUGCUGACUGCUUCUAGGUCCCAAAACCACCAAUCAGAAGAGCCAAACCAUGUCACUCAUCAAAGGUAGACCCAUAGACAGCCCUUCUGGAACUGCAGGGUGACUGCAUUCCCACAGAAGGAGCACCCUCCAGGUCCAGGCCUGCAUGGGAAAUAGAGUCACAAUUCCUCUCUAUUUAGACAUUCCUGAAGAUGAAAAGAGGUGCUUGUCUAAUCUGAAUAGCUGGAACACUCGUUCAAGAGUGUGUUUGGGAAGUGAGUAACUUUCCUGGGAGCUGAGUUGGCUCCAAUCCUUCUAUCUGAGAAGAUCUCAGUGUGUUUCACUGAGAGCUCCCCCAGCCACCUAUGUCAAGGCUGGGACCUCUGCCCACCAUUGGGUACUGCAUUAUGCACCUGCUUUAGCCACAGCAGGUUUUUACCAGGGGCACCUCCUCUUUGGGCCUGAAGCCUGAGGUAUUCAACCAAGUAAAUAAAAUACUAGGAGAAAAUAAAGAAAGAAAGAAAUACACAGACUACAGAGGAAUAAGAUAAGCUUCAAGAGACUUCUGCCAUUCCAACCCUAGAGGAGAAAGUGAACUUGUUCACACACUGAGCACACUGCUGCUACAACCAGAGCCAAGAAAGCCAUCAGACAAAGACUCUCUAUAACUGAGGAAAUCAUACAAACUCUUCACUCCUGAAAGCACCAAGACCUGAAUUAGUCUAGAAGAAACAAUAAACAUCCUUCAGGAAGAAAAAAGAAAUUGAAGAAACAGUCAAAUAAAAAAUAAAUUCAAGUAUAAUUAGAAGAAAUAAUCUAACCAAAUAAGAGAAAUCAGAAAGAUAUUUCUGGUGCUAUGACAAAAUAAGGUGCUAUAACUGCCCAAAAUAUCACACUAGCCCCCCCCCCCCCAGCAAUGGAUCCAAACCCAGACAAACCUUUUGAAACACCAAAUUUUAAAAAUUCAAAAAUUUGAUUAUUAAGCUAUUCCAGAAGGUGUCAGAGAAAGGUGAAAACCAACAUAAAGAAAUUUUAAAAAAUUUUAGGAUACAAAUAAAAACUUUUCUAAAGAGAUAGAUAUCUUAAAGAAAUGCAAAUCAGAAUUUCUGGAAAUGAAAGGUACACUUAGAGAAUUACAAAAUGGAGGGGAAAGUUUCAACAAUGGACUACAAAGGGAAGAAGAAAAAAUUUCAUAGCUCACUGAUAUGGUUUGGCUGUGUCCACAUCCAAAUCUCAUCUUGAAUUGUAGUUUCUGUAAUCCCCACAAGUAUGGCAAGGACCAGUGGGAAAAAACUAAAUCAUGGGGGCUGUUACCCUUAUGCUGUUCUCGUGAUACUGAGUGAGUUUUCACAAGACGUGAUGGUUUUAUAAGGGGCUAUUUCUCCUUUGCUUGGCAUUUCUCCUUCCUGCUGCCCUGUGAAGAAGUUGCCUUUCUUCCCCUUCACCUUCCACCAUGAUUGUUAAUUUCUUGAGGCCUUCCCAGCCAUGCAAAACUGUAAGCCAAUUAGAUCUCUUUCCUUUAUAAAUUACCCAGUCUUGGGAAGUUCACAGAAGCAUAAGAACAGACUAAUACACUCAGAGACAAGGGUUUUGAAUUAACCCAAUCAGAAAAAAAGAAAGAAAGAUGAAUACAAAGAAAUGAGCAAAUUCAAAAUACCGAUGAAACAAAAAGUUGGUUGAGAGAAUAAAAAAAUUAUACGUUAUUAGCUAGAUUAACCAAGAAGAGAAGAGAGAAGAUUCAAAUAAGCUCAAUUAGAAAUGAAACUGGAAGCACAUGGUUUCUAAAGUCACCUGCUUGACCCUCUUCCAAGUUGUACUUUCCUUCUUUUCUCUCUUUUCCUUAUUAUUCUAAAGCUUUUUAAUAAACUUGCACUCUGGCUCUGAAAAAAAAGUAAUGAAACUGGGGACAUUACAACUGACCCUACAGAAGUACAAAAUAACAUUUGAGAUUAUUAUAAACACCUGUAUGCAUGCAAACUAGAAAACCUUGAGGACAACCUAGAUUAGGAGGGUUAUAAGUUUCCAGGAAUUUAUCCAUUUAUUCUAGGUUUUCUAUUUGUGUGCAUUAAACCAGGAAGAAAUAGAAAUCCUGAACAGACCAAAGGUAAGCAGCAAGGUUGAAUCAGUAAUAAGGAAAAAUUGUCAACAACAAAAAUGCCCAAGGCCAGGUGGCAUCACGGAUCAUUUCUACCAGGCAUUCAAAGAAGAUUUGAUACCAACCCUAGUGAAAUUAUUCCAAAAGGUAGACAAAGAGGGAAUCCUCUUUAAAUCUUUCUAUUAAGCCAGUAUCACCCUGACACCAAAACUAGGAAAGGACCUAACCAAAAAGGAAAACUAUAGACUAAUAUUCCUGAUGAACAUAGAUGCAAAAUCCUCAACAAAGUACUAACUUACCAAAUCCAAUAACACAUCAAGAAGAUAUAUACAAUGAUCAAGUGGGUUUCAUCUCAGGGAUACAGGGAUAGUUUAAUAUAUGCAAGUCAAUCAAUGUGAUAUAUUAUAUAAACAGAAUGAAAAACAGAAACCGUAUGAUCAUCUCAAUAGAUGCAGAAAAAACAUUUGAUAAGAUCCAGGAUCGCUUUAAGAUAAAAAUGCUCAACAAACUGGGCCUAGAAGGGACUUACCUCAAAUUAUUGAAAGACAUAUAUGACAAACCCACAGCCAACAUUAUUACUGGAUAGAUAAAAGUUGAAAGCAUUCUCCCUGAGAACUGGAAGAAGACAGGGAUGCCCACUUUCACCACUUCUUUUUUUUUCUUUUUUUUUAAAUUAUACUUUAAGCUCUAGGGUAUAUAUGCACAAUGUGCAGGUUUGUUAAAUAGGUAUACAUGUGCCAUGUUGGUGUGCUGCACCCAUUAACUCGUCAUUUACAUUUGGUAUAUCUCCUAAUGCUAUCCCUCCCCCAUCCCCUCACCCCACAACAGACCCCGAUGUGGGAUGGUCCCCUUCCUGUGUCCAAGUGUCUCAUUGUUCAGUUACCGCCUAUGAGUGAGAACAUGCGGUGUUUGGUUUUUUGUCCUUGCGAUAGUUUGCUGAGAAUGGUAGUUUCCAGCUUCAUCCAUUUCCCUACAGAGGACAUGAACUCAUCAUUUUUUAUGGCUGCAUAGUUUUCCAUGGUGUAUAUGU